CAACACCAUAACUCCUCGCAAACCGAGACCUAUAGGGAGUAUAAAACAUCGUCUCUUUAUCCAGUAGUGAGGGAUUACUGGAAAUAAGUUUCGCA
rnacentral:ncRNA from 1 species